CCUAUACAUGCAGUCGAGCGGACAGAAGGGAGCUUGCUCCCGGAUGUUAGCGGCGGACGGGUGAGUAACACGUGGGUAACCUGCCUGUAAGACUGGGAUAACUCCGGGAAACCGGAGCUAAUACCGGAUAGUUCCUUGAACCGCAUGGUUCAAGGAUGAAAGACGGUUUCGGCUGUCACUUACAGAUGGACCCGCGGCGCAUUAGCUAGUUGGUGGGGUAAUGGCUCACCAAGGCGACGAUGCGUAGCCGACCUGAGAGGGUGAUCGGCCACACUGGGACUGAGACACGGCCCAGACUCCUACGGGAGGCAGCAGUAGGGAAUCUUCCGCAAUGGACGAAAGUCUGACGGAGCAACGCCGCGUGAGUGAUGAAGGUUUUCGGAUCGUAAAGCUCUGUUGUUAGGGAAGAACAAGUGCGAGAGUAACUGCUCGCACCUUGACGGUACCUAACCAGAAAGCCACGGCUAACUACGUGCCAGCAGCCGCGGUAAUACGUAGGUGGCAAGCGUUGUCCGGAAUUAUUGGGCGUAAAGGGCUCGCAGGCGGUUUCUUAAGUCUGAUGUGAAAGCCCCCGGCUCAACCGGGGAGGGUCAUUGGAAACUGGGAAACUUGAGUGCAGAAAGAGGAGAGUGGAAUUCCACUUGUAGCGGUAAAAUGCGUAGAGAUGUGGAGGAACUCCGUGGCAAAGGCUACUGUGUGGUCUGUAACGGACUCUGAUGAGGUAAGCCUGGGGAUUAACCUGAUUAGAUACACUUGGUAGACCACGGCGUCAACGACGAGUGCGG
rnacentral:rRNA from 1 species